UACGUAGGGGGCAAGCGUUGUCCGGAAUCAUUGGGCGUAAAGAGCGUGUAGGCGGCCCGAUAAGUCCGCUGUGAAAGUCCAGGGCUCAACCCUGGAAUGCCGGUGGAUACUGUCGGGCUCGAAUCCGGAAGAGGCGAGUGGAAUUCCUGGUGUAGCGGUGGAAUGCGCAGAUAUCAGGAGGAACACCAAUAGCGAAGGCAGCUCGCUGGGACGGUACUGACGCUAAGGCGCGAAAGCGUGGGGAGCAAACAGG
rnacentral:rRNA from 1 species